rnacentral:lncRNA from 1 species
AUGUAUUCACCAGGGGAGGGGCGGGAUGAAAGCGCUUUUAACCUCCCCGCCAUAAACUUUAAUCGGAUUCCGAGCUGUUGCACGGCAUGGACUCCUCGCCUCUUCUCUGCAUCUCCUUCCCCGUUGUCUCCCAUUUCUACUACAGUCUGCUUUACGAGAGCCUUUUCCAAGCGAAUGAGUGAUUCCUUUCUCUUGCCAUGUGCAAUCUUUCCCCCCUCCCCUUUCUACCCUCUCUGGCCUCUCUUACACACACUAUGUCUUUCACAUGCGGUCUGUGCCCCCCAGCCCCCUCCCUUUCUUUCUCUUUUGCAGUGUCUUCGCAUGCAAUCUCUCUCUGAAUGUGCAAUGUCUUUCCUGCUCGGGAGUGCUGCGUCCUUCACAGUGGAUUGGUUCCUCUUUCGGAGCAGAGAUCACGGGAAAAGAGAAAAGCAGUCGAAUAUUGUGAUAAUACUGGAAGCCUGCAGAAGCUGGUUGAUAGGAGACUCCAUGGCUCUUAUUGUGGAUGUACCUAAUUUACUACAGUUCCAAGAAGUUCAUAAAGACAAAAAUUCUCAAGAAUUCCCCAAGUUCACCAAGGAAUGAUGGGAUCAAUCUGCUUCUCCUGUGGACUUCAGUUCUAUCCUAAUUCAUCAACAGAUGGCAGUAGACAACUCCCUACACAACUCCCUAUCUUCACACCAACAGCCUUAUAAAUGACCCUAUUAAUAACAAAGGAAGGGAAGAAAAAAAUAUAUAUAUAUUGCUGCUUAAGUCUUCUGUAUAUAAUGUGUUAAUCUAAACCAUGCAGUGCUAAAAUCUCAUACAGAUUAAUUUUAUGCUGAGUUUGAAUGACUAGAAGCAGCUACUACCUUUGGAAUGGCUAUCAUCCUUGUCAUCUCCUAUGUUUAAAUGAUUCUUUUAUUGAAAUUGAUUCUUUUUAUUUUCCUUGAGAAAGCAUAGUAAUAUAGAUUAUGGCAAAUCCUUUGCUUUUCCCACUGAUUAUAUUACUGUAAUGAAGAAUCAGUUCUCUGAUUGCAGUAAACACAUUUUUUUUUUUCUCCCAAAUGUCUUCAUUAAAGUGAUGGAACAAGUAAUUUAAUAAGUAGUUGUACUAGUUUUUGAGACAUACCUCACUAGAUUUUGGUGUUGCAUUAAUUCCUCCUUCAAAUCAAGUAGAUGGUAUAAUAAACUCAGUGAAUUCUUUAGAUAGAUUGAAACAUUGAGAAACAUUGAGAUUGAAACAUUGAGAAUAUACAUUUUUUUUUUUAAUGGAUGUUGAUAUAUUGGCAUUGCCAACCAAGGAAAAAGCAUUAUCAUAAAAAUUUCUAAGAGGCAUUUUCUUGUGUAAUUUACAAUAGUGUGUGUCAGACAUAGAAAACUUCACAUUAUAUAAUUAUUUUUUAGCUUCAAGGCACAUAAAUUAGGCCUGGAGUUCCUGAUAGAAUUCUGUUCCCACCUCUUUCACUAACUUAUCUUAAUAUUUCUUUGCACUUCACAAUUUGCCAGCAUGUUUCCUAUGAUGAGAGGAAAUGAUUUUAAAGAAAAGGAAGGAAGGAAGGAAGGAAGGAAGGAAGGAAGGAAGGAAGGAAGGAAGGAAGGAAGGAAGGAAGGAAGGAAGGAAGGAAGGAAGNAAGGAAGGAAGGAAGGAAGGAAGGAAGGAAGGAAGGAAGGAAGGAAGGAAGGAAGGAAGGAAGGAAGGAAGGAAGGAAGGAAGGAAGGAAGGAAGAAGAAAUGGUUCUUUGGUUCUUUCAGGACUACUGGAGGGAGUGGCUUACUGCUCUAAACUUAAUGGAAAUGUUUGAAUUCUCUAAGCCAAUGAUUUAAACUGAGGUAGGUUUAACUCAAAUCUUCAAAAUGGGAACACUGAUUUCCCUUCAAUUCAGUGUGUGGAUUUUUUUUUUUUUUAUAUUAAACUUUAAACAUUGAAGAUGUGUUGGCUGUGUGAGUGUGAUACCGAGCCCUGGCGUACUUGGCAAGGGAAAGUGUAUGUCCUAGAAGUAGUGCAGAACAUUUUGCCUCCACACACUGUUCUACAGAAAUCUUGGGGGAAAGCCAGCAGAGUGUCAAAACCAUAAAGACUGAAGCCUCAUUUUUAAAGUUUUUGCUUUCUGCUUUCUUGUCUUUUUUUUUUUUUUUUUUUUUUCCUCUAAGAAACAGACAAAUCUACCUUAGUAGAAUAGGCUUUGUUCCCAUGAAAAAAUGUAUUUCUUUUGAUUCCUACUCUUCCUCUGAUCCGUUUUUUAUUUUAUUUUAUUUAUUUAUUUAUUUUUCUCCUAAGCAUUUUAAACUUUCCUUAUAAAUAGGAAGAAAAGAUAAAUAAUAUGGUAAAUAUUCAAGUCACUGCAGAUAAAUUUUGGCACCUUGUAGUUAUCUAAGUAGUUUCAGCUUGUGUCAUUUUCAUAUGAACAGUUUUGGAAAAAAUGAAAGUAACAUCAAAUCUUUGGCUAUAGGCAUAAAUAAUGGUGCUGCCCCGAUAUUAUCUUAUUCUUACAAAAAAUACAACCAGGAUUAUAAAAAUGAGUUUUUAGCUCAAGUAUAUCCACUUGAUUGAGAAGACUGAUAACAAGACUGCUACGUGUUAGUAAAUAUAAACUAAUAAUAAAAGAUAAGAUUUAAAAGGUAAGUGUUCAUAUACAGAGAAAUGGUUGCAGAAUCUUCGUUCACCUCUAUCGUGCUGUCUUUAUUGUAUUAUCAUAUACAUUUAUUUCCAGGGGACCCUGGCUAUUUAGCAUACUCCCUACAUUUUGAAGAAAGGUAUGUGUUCAAACUGUUCAAUGUGUCUUCUUGCUCCCUGUGUUGAGUGGUAAGGAACUAAGAGAGUGAAAACUUUAUCAUUUGUUCAUCAGGGUUUCUCAUGGUAGUGCUACUAUUUGACUGUGGUGGUGCAGGUGCCAAGACAACCCUGUUGCAAUUUUGUUUGUACUGCCUAUAGGUUUACUUUGGAGUAAAUUAUCCCCAGGUUCACACUUGAAGUUUCCCUGAGAGAAAACUAGCUGUGACAGAUCAAAAGAGAGCCCAGGAGCAAACUGACAUACAAGCAGUGUGAACAGUCAAUGAACUGCAGAGUGAAAUGAAAUGGAGUGCUAAGUUGUUUGACAGCAUGCAUAGGUGACUUAGUUCACACGUACCUUGUCAACUGUUUCUGAAUGGCACUGAUGUCCUGAGGAGACAUACCCUGAAACACCAUUCUCAUAUCUUGAGUUACCUCUGCAAAGAUUCUGGCACAAAGACAUGUACACCAUUUUCUUUUGCUUUUGAAGACAUUUUGAUGUCAAUAUCUUUAACUUGUCAUACAUUUAUUCACAGAAUAAAACAGAGUGGUUAGGGCUGUAAGGGACAUCUGGAGGUCAACUUUCUAUAUUCAAAACACUCUUGACUGUUCUAUUUUCAAUGCAUUUCUGAUACAACACCAAAAAAUUAAAUCAUUAUUUUAUUUUGUUAUAAACAAAUAUUUCUACAACAAGGCCUUAUCUUCAAAGACUGCUCUUCAUGUAUGUGUGAUAUAAAAAAUUUCAAAGUUACUCUUGAUAAUUUCUAUUAUCUCUAUUCUGUUUUAAAUAUGCCU